CAACACAUUAGUUGUUAACGUUAUAUUUAUUCGUUUAGAAUAAUGUUCCACUUUGCAUCAUAAAAAUGUGAACUAAAUUAUCAGUAGUAGAGCAAUCAUCAAUAUGUUUCAUUAUUUCGGGAUUUAUACAGUACUCAAUUGUUAACAAUAUUUCAAGAAUCUAAAUAAUCAAAGGAAACUUCCAAAACUAAUUUUAACAUGAAUUUUUUGUAAUCAUUUAGGACAUUCAAAUGAUUACUUGUAACUAUGCAGUAUAUAUAAGUUCCUGAAACUUCGUCUCAGUCUCUCAUAAUGAACAUGGCGUUUUCAUUGAAUUUAAUUUUGUAGUAAAUGAUAUUUAAAAACAUUUAGAUAAUAUUUUAUUAAGUCACUGGUAUGUUAAAUUAUACAAUGUUUUACACAUUUAUAUUAAAUAAACUACAUAAAUAACUGA